AAGUCGAGCGGUAGCAGGAAGUGCUUGCACUUCGCUGACGAGCGGCGGACGGGUGCGUAACACGUAGGAAUCUGCCUGGUAGUGGGGGAUAGCCCGGAGAAAUCCGGAUUAAUACCGCAUACGCCUUACGAGGGAAAGGAGGGGACUCUUCGGAGCCUUUCGCUAUCAGAUGAGCCUGCGUCGGAUUAGCUGGUUGGUGGGGUAAAGGCCUACCAAGGCGACGAUCCGUAGCUGGUCUGAGAGGAUGAUCAGCCACACUGGGACUGAGACACGGCCCAGACUCCUACGGGAGGCAGCAGUGGGGAAUAUUGCACAAUGGGCGAAAGCCUGAUGCAGCCGUGCCGCGUGUGUGAAGAAGGCCCUAGGGUUGUAAAGCACUUUCAGUGGGGAGGAAAGGUUGAAGGUUAAUACCCUUCAGCUAUGACGUUACCCACAGAAGAAGCACCGGCUAACUCCGUGCCAGCAGCCGCGGUAAUACGGAGGGUGCGAGCGUUAAUCGGAAUUACUGGGCGUAAAGCGUGCGUAGGCGGCUACCUAAGUUGGAUGUGAAAGCCCCGGGCUCAACCUGGGAACUGCAUCCAAAACUGGGUGGCUAGAGUACGGGAGAGGGGUGUGGAAUUUCCUGUGUAGCGGUGAAAUGCGUAGAUAUAGGAAGGAACACCAGUGGCGAAGGCGACACUCUGGCCUGAUACUGACGCUGAGGUACGAAAGCGUGGGGAGCAAACAGGAUUAGAUACCCUGGUAGUCCACGCCGUAAACGAUGUCUACUAGUUGUCGGUUGUCUUGUACGACUGGUAACGCAGCUAACGCGAUAAGUAGACCGCCUGGGGAGUACG
rnacentral:rRNA from 1 species